UGGAUAGCUCAGUUGGCAGAGCAAGAGAUUCUUAAUCUCAGGGUUGGGGGUUUGAGUUCCACCUGGGGCAA